AGUGAACGCUGGCGGCGUGCUUAACACAUGCAAGUCGAGCGAUAUUUGACAGCGUAUCGUCAGGUAUAGCGGCAGACGGGUGAGUAAUACUUGGGCAAUCUGCCCUUGAGUGGGGGACAACCUGCCGAAAGGCGGGCUAAUACCCCAUAAGACCACAGGGAUGCAUAUUCCAGGGGUCAAAGCUCCGCAAGGGGCGCUUGAGGAGGAGCCCGAGUCCUANCAUGGUAGUUGGCGGGGUAAUGGCCCACCAAGCCGUUGACGGGUAGCCGGCCUGAAAGGGCAACGGCCACACUGGCAC
rnacentral:rRNA from 1 species